rnacentral:rRNA from 1 species
GACGAACGCUGGCGGCGUGCUUAACACAUGCAAGUCGAACGGAAAGGCCCCUUUGGGGGUACUCGAGUGGCGAACGGGUGAGUAACACGUGAGUAACCUGCCCUUGACUUCGGGAUAACUUCAGGAAACUGGGGCUAAUACCGGAUAGGAAUCCUUGCUGCAUGGUGGGGGUUGGAAAGCUUCGGCGGUUUUGGAUGGACUCGCGGCUUAUCAGCUUGUUGGUGGGGUAGUGGCUUACCAAGGCUUUGACGGGUAGCCGGCCUGAGAGGGCGACCGGCCACAUUGGGACUGAGAUACGGCCCAGACUCCUACGGGAGGCAGCAGUGGGGAAUAUUGCACCAUGGGCGGCAGCCUGAUGCAGCAACGCCGCGUGCGGGAUGACGGCCUUCGGGUUGUAAACCGCUUUCAGCAGGGGCGAAGCUUGUGGUGACGGUACCUGCAGAAGAAGCACCGGCUAACUACGUG